rnacentral:pre_miRNA from 13 species
CCCUGCUGGGGCUAAAGUGCUGACAGUGCAGAUAGUGGUCCUCUCCGUGCUACCGCACUGUGGGUACUUGCUGCUCCAGCAGGG